rnacentral:rRNA from 1 species
UGGCUCAGAUUGAACGCUGGCGGCAGGCCUAACACAUGCAAGUCGAGCGGAUGACGGGAGCUUGCUCCUUGAUUCAGCGGCGGACGGGUGAGUAAUGCCUAGGAAUCUGCCUGGUAGUGGGGGACAACGUUUCGAAAGGAACGCUAAUACCGCAUACGUCCUACGGGAGAAAGCAGGGGACCUUCGGGCCUUGCGCUAUCAGAUGAGCCUAGGUCGGAUUAGCUAGUUGGUGGGGUAAUGGCUCACCAAGGCGACGAUCCGUAACUGGUCUGAGAGGAUGAUCAGUCACACUGGAACUGAGACACGGUCCAGACUCCUACGGGAGGCAGCAGUGGGGAAUAUUGGACAAUGGGCGAAAGCCUGAUCCAGCCAUGCCGCGUGUGUGAAGAAGGUCUUCGGAUUGUAAAGCACUUUAAGUUGGGAGGAAGGGCAGUAAGYUAAUACCUUGCUGUUUUGACGUUACCGACAGAAUAAGCACCGGCUAACUCUGUGCCAGCAGCCGCGGUAAUACAGAGGGUGCAAGCGUUAAUCGGAAUUACUGGGCGUAAAGCGCGCGUAGGUGGUUUGUUAAGUUGGAUGUGAAAGCCCCGGGCUCAACCUGGGAACUGCAUCCAAAACUGGCAAGCUAGAGUACGGUAGAGGGUGGUGGAAUUUCCUGUGUAGCGGUGAAAUGCGUAGAUAUAGGAAGGAACACCAGUGGCGAAGGCGACCACCUGGACUGAUACUGAC